GUAGGGAAUAUUGGGCAAUGGAUGCAAGUCUGACCCAGCCAUCCCGCGUGCCGGAAGAAGGCCCUCAGGGUUGUAAACGGCUUUUGACGGUGAAGAACCGACAGGAUGCGUCCUGUUUUGACGGUAGCCGUUGAAUAAGCACCGGCUAACUCCGUGCCAGUAGCCGCGGUAAUACGGAGGGUGCGAGCGUUGUCCGGAUUUAUUGGGUUUAAAGGGUGCGUAGGCUGGAAGGUCAGUCAGCGGUGAAAAGCUGUCGCUUAACGAUAGUCUUGCCGCAGAUACUUCCUUUCUUGGAUGAGGAGGAGGCCACUGGAACGGAUGGUGUAGCGGUGAAAUGCAUAGAUAUCAUCCAGAACACCGAUUGCGAAGGCAGGUGGCUGUACCUUAAUCGACGCUGAUGCACGAAAGCAUGGGGAGCAAACAGGAUUAGAAACCCUUGUAGUCC
rnacentral:rRNA from 1 species